CUGAGCAUCGGAAUGGCUUCCGCGCAUGCGCGCCAGCCAGCUGGUUGUCGGGCCAGUCUGGGCGUCAGAAUGGCUUCUGCGCAUGCGCGCCGGCCAGCUGGUUGUCGGGCCGGUCUGGGCGUCAGAAUGGCUUCUGCACAUGCGCGCCGAUCAGCCGGAUGUCGGGCCGGUCGGACACCGUUCCAUGCGGUAGAGGCUUCGCUGGGGUAAGUAAGCCGGACGGCCUCUCCUACGGCCCGACAAUUAGUUUUAAACAUUAGCAACCUUUGGAAUGACAAGGCUGAUGGCAUUCACUGGCUCCUAAAUUGAAGUCAACCUGCCUUCUGAGCUUCAGUAUCCUAUUUGUGUGGAAUGUAUCUCUCCUUCCUUCUAAUCGCCUCCCAAUUGUUGCAAGAUCAGCCAUGUUUGCAGCUACUGAGAAAAGUGCCAAGUUGCAAACAUGUCAACACAUGGUCCUAUCGCUGUUCACAUGGACAGGAAACUUCAGCACAAUGUUGUAGAUCCUUCCAGAAGAAAAGGUCCUGGGGGUCAUAAAGACAGAAGGAACUGGUAAAGAUCACAUUUGGUGCCCACACUGGCAGAAUAAAACCUGGAUCCAGCUUGCUGAAUUGAAAGCAUAAAUUACUUCUGAUAAAUAAUAAUACAGAAUGUCAGAACAUUCCUCUAUGUCCUUGUAUUUUUUUUAUAAAAAAAAAGCUAAAACAGAAUAAGACAAAGGAAGAACAGACUGAACUACCCGACAGAUAUUACAAGGGGAAAGCAUUGUCAACACCAACAAAUCUCCGUUUGGAAGUUUUCAUUAAACCUCAGUAACAUUUGGGGACUGAACUGCUUCUAAAGUGCACAAGGAGAGAGCAAUAAGGGAAUGAUACACUGUGGUAUCAAAUAUGAUUGGUGCCAUUUUCAUUCUAGGGCUGAUGGAUUGAAACUUUUAUUCUUUAAAAAAAUAUACUUUUUAAAAAAUAACUAUCCUGGAGAUGAUAAAAGCAACAUCAUUGUGCCAUUGUUUAUUUGGCAAUGAAAUAAAAAAUGCAUGUCCGAGUAUAGAUUAUUAUUAUUAUUAUUAUUAUUAU